GAUGAACGCUGGCGGCGUGCCUAAUACAUGCGAGUCGAGCGAACAGACGAGGAGCUUGCUCCUCUGACGUUAGCGGCGGACGGGUGAGUAACACGUGGAUAACCUACCUAUAAGACUGGGAUAACUUCGGGAAACCGGAGCUAAUACCGGAUAAUAUAUUGAACCGCAUGGUUCAAUAGUGAAAGACGGUUUUGCUGUCACUUAUAGAUGGAUCCGCGCCGCAUUAGCUAGUUGGUAAGGUAACGGCUUACCAAGACAACGAUGCGUAGCCGACCUGAGAGGGUGAUCGGCCACACUGGAACUGAGACACGGUCCAGACUCCUACGGGAGGCAGCAGUAGGGAAUCUUCCGCAAUGGGCGAAAGCCUGACGGAGCAACGCCGCGUGAGUGAUGAAGGUCUUCGGAUCGUAAAACUCUGUUAUUAGGGAAGAACAAAUGUGUAAGUAACUAUGCACGUCUUGACGGUACCUAAUCAGAAAGCCACGGCUAACUACGUG
rnacentral:rRNA from 1 species